UUGAUACUGUUAGACUAGAGUUUAAGGGACGUAACCGGAAUGUGAUGUGUAGCGGUGAAAUGCAUAGAUAUGUCCCAGAACGCCGAUCGUGAAGACAGGUUACAAACUUAAUACUGACGCUCAGGCACGAAGGCGUGGGGAUCAAACAGGAUUAGAUACCCUGGUAGUCCACGCUGUAAACAAUGAUCACUCUUUGUUGGUUAGUAAUAAUCAGUGGCCAAGCGAAAUCGAUAGGUGGGGGGGGGUGGGUAGUACGAUCGCAAGGUUGAAACUCAGGGAGGUUGACGGGCGCCCGCACAAGCAGAAGGACCAUGUGGCUUAAUGCGAAUGCAACGCGAAGAACCUUACCCGGGUGUGAAAUGCACCUGCAAGUCCCCCGAUAUUCGGGAUUCGUUCAACGGUGCUGCAAAGGCGGUGCAUGGUUGUCGCCAUUUCAUGCAGUGAAGCAAUUUGGCUCACCCGCUUGACGACGCAGA
rnacentral:rRNA from 1 species